rnacentral:rRNA from 1 species
GAUGAACGCUAGCGGCAGGCUUAAUACAUGCAAGUCGAGGGGCAGCGCAGUGUAGCAAUACGUGGGCGGCGACCGGCAAACGGGUGCGGAACACGUACGCAACCUUCCCAGAACUGGUGAAUAGCCUUUCGAAAGAGAGAUUAAUACACCGUAACUUAAUGAAGUGGCAUCACUUUAUUAAUAUAGUUCCGACGGUUCUG